AUUGAACGCUGGCGGCAGGCCUAACACAUGCAAGUCGAACGAGUGGCGGACGGGUGAGUAAUGUCUGGGAAACUGCCUGAUGGAGGGGGAUAACUACUUGAAACGGUAGCUAAUACCGCAUACCAUCGGAUGUGCCCAGAUGGGAUUAGCUAGUAGGUGGGGUAAAGGCUCACCUAGGCGACGAUCCCUAGCUGGUAUGAGAGGAUGCCCAUCCACACUGGAACUGAGACACGUGCCAGACUCCUACGGGAGUCAGCAGUGGGGAAUAUUGCACAAUGGGAGCAAGCCUGAUGCAGCCAUGCCGCGUGUAUGAAGAAGGCCUUCGGGUUGUAAAGUACUUGCAGCGGGGAGGCGUUACCCGCAGAAGAAGCACCGGCUAACUCCGUGCCAGCAGCCGCGGUAAUUC
rnacentral:rRNA from 1 species